rnacentral:rRNA from 1 species
UACGGGGGGGGCAAGCGUUGUUCGGAAUUACUGGGCGUAAAGGGCUCGUAGGCGGCCAACUAAGUCCGACGUGAAAUCCCCAGGCUCAACCUGGGAACUGCGUCGGAUACUGGAUGGCUUGAAUUCGGGAGAGGGAUGCAGAAUUCCAGGUGUAGCGGUGAAAUGCGCAGAUAUCAGGAAGAACACCCGUGGCGAAAGCGGCUCUCUGGAACGGUACUGACGCUGAGACGCGAAAGCGUGGGGAGCAAACAGG